UCCGGCCAGCCGAAUCCAUUAACGGGGAGGCCGGGGUGGCCAGAUUCGAAGCCUCCAGCCUCCCCGUUGGCCGAUGCAACGGUGGUGG
rnacentral:pre_miRNA from 1 species